AUGUCGAUAAAGACAUGGAACGGCACUAGUGGUUCUGAUACAAAAACAUAUACUAUAGGUACGUUUCUAUAACAAACCCGCUACACGAGUACAAAAGACGUUACGACGAUAGUAUAUUUAUCUCUUUUUAACUUAUGACGGCUCACAUGAGUGCGAAAGACAAAACCUAUGUUUUUCUUUCGUCUUAAAUAUGCUCCGUCUAUUCUAUACAAGGUCUUUGGUUGGUUUCAAAGACCUUGUAUAGAAUAGACGGAUAAUAUUUUAGAGUGACGAUCAAACUAUCACAGCUCUCUUUCUUCCCUAUGGCGACAAUCUCUGUGGAAAAAAGAAACAAACAUAGACAAACACCGCUGUCUAGAACGUCAGUGUUUACCGUUUUGAGAUGUUGUGGUAGUCAGCUGGAUACCAAACCUGCCGUUAGUUUUUUGGUGUUUUGGGACAUUAUUUUAACUUUUUAUAUAAACAAUCUGUGAAAUAGUUAUUCAUUAUGAACCAUGGCUUGCGUAGCUAUUGGUUGUGAGAGUAGAAUGGGUGUUAUAAUGGAGAACGAUCAAACAAUGUCUCACCAUGGAUUUUCUAAAUAUCCUAAUUUACGAAACCAGAAAUUAAGAAACAAUUGGAUUCAGACCAUGAAACGAGAUGAUUCUCUCUUCUGAAGGACGCCUUCUCCUUAUUUAAGCCUGUGCUAAUUACAUUUCGAUGUAUCUUGCUUUCUAUCGAGCAGGAUACCAAACAAAAAUAUUACAUAGAGAUGCAGUACCAACAAUAUUCACUCACAUAUCUCACAUAAGUAAAGUUAUAACGACCAGAGCCGACACUGUACACUUCUAAAGAAAGUGAACAUGAGGAAAAAUUUUUUUACCACCAAAAAUCGGAAUUGUUAAGUGUUUCGUACGGUUCUUCAUAGGUAUCUAUCUAUUUGGGAACGAAUAGGUAUUGUUUUGAUUAAAAUACUUGUUAUCCACUCCGAUAUGGAUACAAGGGCCUUGUUUCUGCAUUUAAUCACUCAAUUUGUAUGUACAAAGUUUUAGAUCUUGGCCUAAAAUAAUAUCGAUAAAGACAUAGAACAUCCCUAGUGGUCGUGACACAAAAUAUAUACAAAUAAGUACGUUUCUAUAACAAACCCGCUACGCAAGUACAAAAGGCGUUACGACGAUAGUAUAUUUAUCUCUUUUUAACUUAUGACGGCUCACAUGAGUGCGAAAAACCAAACCUAUGUUUUUCUUUCGUCUUAAAUAUGCUCCGUCUAUUCUAUACAAGGUCU